rnacentral:rRNA from 1 species
UAGUCCACGCCGUAAACGUUGGGCACUAGGUGUGGGGAUUUAUCAACGAUCUCCGCGCCGUCGCUAACGCAUUAAAUAGACCGCCUGGGGAGUACGGCCGCAAGGUUAAAACUCAAAUGAAUUGACGGGGGCCCGCACAAGCGGUGGAGCAUGUGGUUUAAUUCGAUGCAACGCGAAGAACCUUACCAUCCCUUGACAUCCAGAGAAUCUGUUAGAGAUAGUAGAGUGCCUUCGGGAACUCUGAGACAGGUGCUGCAUGGCUGUCGUCAGCUCGUGUUGUGAAAUGUUGGGUUAAGUCCCGCAACGAGCGCAACCCUUAUCCUUACUUGCCAGCGGGUUAUGCCGGGAACUUUAGGGAGACUGCCGGUGAUAAACCGGAGGAAGGUGGGGACGACGUCAAGUCAUCAUGGCCCUUACGGGAUGGGCUACACACGUGCUACAAUGGCAGAUACAAAGGGUUGCUAACCUGCGAGGGUAUGCGAAUCUCAUAAAGUCUGUCGUAGUCCGGAUCGG